rnacentral:rRNA from 1 species
ACGAACGCUGGCGGCGUGCCUAACACAUGCAAGUCAACUUGACUGAAGGAGCAAUCUGACAGUAGAGUGGCGCAAGGGUGCGUAACGCGUAAGUAACUUGCCCCAAGGUAAGGAAUAACGUCGAGAAAUCGGCGCUAAUACCUCAUAAUGCGGCGGAUCCGCAUGGAUAUGUUGUUAAAGGUUUACCGCCUUGGGAUAGGCUUGCGUCUGAUUAGCUAGUUGGUGUGGUAACGGCACACCAAGGCUACGAUCAGUAACUGGUCUGAGAGGAUGAUCAGUCACACUGGAACUGAGACACGGUCCAGACUCCUACGGGAGGCAGCAGUGAGGAAUAUUGGGCAAUGCUCGAAAGAGUGACCCAGCAACGCCGCGUGGAGGAUGAAGGUAUUCUAUAUCGUAAACUCCUGUGAGAGCAGACGAAAGACAGAUUAUUAAUCUGGAUGACUGUAUGCUCAGAGGAAGCCCCGGCUAACUACGUG